rfam:Gossypium hirsutum cultivar TM-1 unplaced genomic scaffold scaffold1842.1, whole genome shotgun sequence
AAUAGUUUUAUGCCACAUCAGUAUUCUUAUCCUGAAUUUCAGGAUUUUAUCUUGAAAAAAUCAAAUACAAAUUAAAAUACUGAAAUUCAGGAUAAGAAUACUGAUGUGGCAUAAAACUAUU